rnacentral:rRNA from 1 species
UACGUAGGGGCCGAGCGUUGUCCGGAGUUAUUGGGCGUAAAGCGCGCGCAGGCGGCCUCGCGCGCCCGACGUGAAAGCCCCCGGCUUAACCGGGGAGGGUCGUUGGGGACGGCGGGGCUUGAGGGCGGGAGAGGUCGGUGGAGUUCCGAGUGUAGCGGUGAAAUGCGUAGAGACUCGGAAGAACACCAGUGGCGAAGGCGGCUACCUGGACGGGUACUGACGCUGCAGCGCGAAAGCUAGGGGAGCAAACAGG